rfam:Gossypium raimondii Chr08_contig_806, whole genome shotgun sequence.
UAUUAAAAAUUUCAUCUAAUUCUAUUGUUAAAAACUGAUGUGGAUGACAAAAUAAUCAAAUAGUUGCACGUAAUGUGUCAUAUAUAUCUCAUUUAACAUAUAUAAAAUAAUUUUUAACAAAUAAAAAUAAAUAAAAUUUUUAAUA